rnacentral:rRNA from 1 species
UACGGGGGGGGCAAGCGUUGUUCGGGAUUACUGGGCGUAAAGGGCUCGUAGGCGGCCAACUAAGUCGGAUGUGAAAUCCCCAAGCUUAACUUGGGAACUGCAUCCGAUACUGGAUGGCUUGAGUUCGGGAGAGGGAUGCGGAAUUCCAGGUGUAGCGGUGAAAUGCGUAGAUAUCUGGAGGAACACCGGUGGCGAAGGCGGCAUCCUGGACCGACACUGACGCUGAGGAGCGAAAGCCAGGGGAGCAAACGGG